rnacentral:rRNA from 1 species
AACGAACGCUGGCGGCAUGCCUAACACAUGCAAGUCGAACGAGACCUUCGGGUCUAGUGGCGCACGGGUGCGUAACGCGUGGGAACCUGCCCUUAGGUUCGGAAUAACUCCUCGAAAGGGGUGCUAAUACCGGAUAAUGUCUUCGGACCAAAGAUUUAUCGCCUUUGGAUGGGCCCGCGUUGGAUUAGCUAGUUGGUAGGGUAAAAGCCUACCAAGGCGACGAUCCAUAGCUGGUCUGAGAGGAUGAUCAGCCACACUGGGACUGAGACACGGCCCAGACUCCUACGGGAGGCAGCAGUGGGGAAUAUUGGACAAUGGGCGAAAGCCUGAUCCAGCAAGGCCGCGUGAGUGAUGAAGGCCUUAGGGUUGUAAAGCUCUUUUACCCGGGAUGAUAAUGACAGUACCGGGAGAAUAAGCUCCGGCUAACUCCGU